UACGUAGGGGGCAAGCGUUGUCCGGAUUUAUUGGGCGUAAAGAGCGUGUAGGCGGCCAAACAGGUCAGCUGUGAAAACUCGAGGCUCAACCUCGAGACGUCGGUUGAAACCGUUUGGCUAGAGUCCGGAAGAGGAGAGUGGAAUUCCCGGUGUAGCGGUGAAAUGCGCAGAUAUCGGGAAGAACACCCGUGGCGAAGGCGGGCUCUCUGGGACGGUACUGGACGCUGAGAGGCG
rnacentral:rRNA from 1 species